rnacentral:tRNA from 3 species
UCCAUGAGCCAGUUCGCACGAUUAAUAGCAAAUGACUGUUAAUCAUUGGGUCCCUGGUUCGAGUCCAGGUCGUGGAGCCA